ACGCUGGCGGCGUGCCUAAUACAUGCAAGUCGAACGAUCUCUGGUAUUGAUUGGUGCUUGCAUCAUGAUUUACAUUUGAGUGAGUGGCGAACUGGUGAGUAACACGUGGGAAACCUGCCCAGAAGCGGGGGAUAACACCUGGAAACAGAUGCUAAUACUGCAUAACAACUUGGACCGCAUGGUCCGAGCUUGAAAGAUGGCUUCGGAUAUCACUUUUGGAUGGUCCCGCGGCGUAUUACCUAGAUGGUGGGGUAACGGCUCACCAUGGCAAUGAUACGUAGCCGACCUGAGAGGGUAAUCGGCCACAUUGGGACUGAGACACGGCCCAAACUCCUACGGGAGGCAGCAGUAGGGAAUCUUCCACAAUGGACGAAAGUCUGAUGGAGCAACGCCGCGUGAGUGAAGAAGGGUUUCGGCUCGUAAAACUCUGUUGUUAAAGAAGAACAUAUCUGAGAGUAACUGUUCACGUAUUGACGGUAUUUAACCAGAAAGCCACGGCUAACUACGUGCCAGCAGCCGCGGUAAUACGUAUGUGGCAAGCGUUGUCCGGAUUUAUUGGGCGCAAAGCGAGCGCAUGCGGUUUUUUAAGUCUGAUGUGAAAGCCUUCGGCUCAACCGAAAAAGUGCAUCGCAUACUGGGAAACUUGAGUGCAGGAAGAGGACAGGGGAACUCCAUGUGUAACGGCGAAAUGCGCAAAUAUAUGGAAGAACACCAGUGCCCAAGGCGGCUGUCUGGACUGGAACUGACGCUGAGGCUCGAAAGUAUGGGUAGCAAACAGGAUUAGAUACCCUGGUAGUCCAUACCGUAAACGAUGAAUGCUAAGUGUUGGAGGGUUUCCGCCCUUCAGUGCUGCAGCUAACGCAUUAAGCAUUCCGCUUGGGGAGUACGGCCGCAAGGCUGAAACUCAAAGGAAUUGACGGGGGCCCGCACAAGCGGUGGAGCAUGUGGUUUAAUUCGAAGCUACGCGAAGAGCCUUACCAGGUCUUGACAUACUAUGCAAAUCUAAGAGAUUAGACGUUCCCUUCGGGGACAUGGAUACAGGUGGUGCAUGGUUGUCGUCAGCUCGUGUCGUGAGAUGUUGGGUUAAGUCCCGCAACGAGCGCAACCCUUAUUAUCAGUUGCCAGCAUUAAGUUGGGCACUCUGGUGAGACUGCCGGUGACAAACCGGAGGAAGGUGGGGAUGACGUCAAAUCAUCAUGCCCCUUAUGACCUGGGCUACACACGUGCUACAAUGGAUGGUACAACGAGUUGCGAACUCGCGAGAGUAAGCUAAUCUCUUAAAGCCAUUCUCAGUUCGGAUUGUAGGCUGCAACUCGCCUACAUGAAGUCGGAAUCGCUAGUAAUCGCGGAUCAGCAUGCCGCGGUGAAUACGUUCCCGGGCCUUGUACACACCGCCCGUCACACCAUGAGAGUUUGUAACACCCAAAGUCGGUGGGGUAACCUUUUAGGAACCAGCCGCCUAAGGUGGGAC
rnacentral:rRNA from 1 species